rnacentral:rRNA from 1 species
GACGAACGCUGGCGGCGUGCUUAACACAUGCAAGUCGAACGGGCCUUGUCCCCUUUUUUUUUGGGGGUGGGGUUAGUGGCGAACGGGUGAGUAACACGUGAGUAACCUGCCCCUCACUUCUGGAUAACCGCUUGAAAGGGUGGCUAAUACGGGGUGUUCUGGCCUGCUCGCAUGGGUGGGUUUGGAAAGAUUCGACCGGUUUUGGUUGUUUUGGUGGGGGAUGGGCUCGCGGCCUAUCAGCUUGUUGGUGGGGUGAUGGCCUGCCAAGGCUUUGACGGGUAGCCGGCCUGAGAGGGUGAGCGGUCACACUGGGACUGAGACACGGCCCAGACUCCUACGGGAGGCAGCAGUGGGGAAUAUUGCACAAUGGGCGCAAGCCUGAUGCAGCGACGACGCGUGAGGGAUGGAGGCCUUCGGGUUGUGAACCUCUUUCGCCAGUGAAGAAGGUCCUGCUCUUUGUGGUGGGGUUGACGGUAGCUGGGUUAAUGAAGCGCCGGCUAACUACGUG